CAGCUAACGCAUUAAGCACUCCGCCUGGGGAGUACGACCGCAAGGUUGAAACUCAAAGGAAUUGACGGGGGCCCGCACAAGCGGUGGAGCAUGUGGUUUAAUUCGAAGCAACGCGAAGAACCUUACCAGGUCUUGACAUCCCGGUGCCCGUCCUAGAGAUAGGAUUUUGCUUCGGCACACCGGUGACAGGUGGUGCAUGGUUGUCGUCAGCUCGUGUCGUGAGAUGUUGGGUUAAGUCCCGCAACGAGCGCAACCCUUAUUGUUAGUUGCCAUCAUUCAGUUGGGCACUCUAGCGAGACUGCCGGUAAUAAACCGGAGGAAGGUGGGGAUGACGUCAAAUCAUCAUGCCCCUUAUGACCUGGGCUACACACGUGCUACAAUGGCUGGUACAACGAGUCGCAAGUCGGUGACGGCAAGCUAAUCUCUUAAAGCCAGUCUCAGUUCGGAUUGUAGGCUGCAACUCGCCUACAUGAAGUCGGAAUCGCUAGUAAUCGCGGAUCAGCACGCCGCGGUGAAUACGUUCCCGGGCCUUGCACACACCGCCCGUC
rnacentral:rRNA from 1 species